rnacentral:rRNA from 1 species
GGCGCAUGGAUUAGGCAUGCAAGUCGAGCGAGAAGGGUUUUGAAGCUUGCUUUAGAACCCGGACAGCGGCGAAAGGGAGAGUAACGCGUAGUUAUGUGCCCUAGGGUCCGGAAUAGCCACGGGAAACUGUGGGUAAUGCCGGACAAUAUCCCCGGAUCAAAGGUGUGAUUCCGCCCUAGGAGCAGACUGCGUCCUACUAGCUAGUUGGUGGGGUAAUGGCCCACCAAGGCAAUGAUGGGUAGCGGGUGUGAGAGCAUGACCCGUCUCACUGGGACUGAGACACUGCCCAGACACCUACGGGUGGCUGCAGUCGAGAAUCUUCGGCAAUGGGCGAAAGCCUGACCGAGCGAUGCCGCGUGCGGGAUGAAGGCCCUCGGGUUGUAAACCGCUGUCGUAGGGGAGGAAGGUUCCGUGAAGAGCGGAAUUUGACCUAUCCUAGGAGGAAGUACGGGCUAAGUUCGUGCCAGCAGCCGCAGUAACAC